UGGGGAAUUUUGGACAAUGGGCGAAAGCCUGAUCCAGCCAUGCCGCGUGAGUGAAGAAGGCCUUCGGGUUGUAAAGCUCUUUUAGUCGGAAAGAAAGAGUUGCAAUGAAUAAUUGUGAUUUAUGACGGUACCGACAGAAAAAGCACCGGCUAACUACGUGCCAGCAGCCGCGGUAAUACGUAGGGUGCGAGCGUUAAUCGGAAUUACUGGGCGUAAAGGGUGCGCAGGCGGUCUUGCAAGUCAGAUGUGAAAGCCCCGGGCUUAACCUGGGAAUUGCGUUUGAAACUACAAGGCUAGAGUGCAGCAUAGGGGAGUGGAAUUCCAUGUGUAGCAGUGAAAUGCGUAGAGAUGUGGAAGAACACCGAUGGCGAAGGCAGCUCCCUGGGUUGACACUGACGCUCAUGCACGAAAGCGUGGGGAGCAAAC
rnacentral:rRNA from 1 species